GGGCCCGCACAAGCGGUGGAGUAUGUGGUUUAAUUCGAUGCAACGCGAAGAACCUUACCAGGGUUUGACAUCCUGCGAAUUUCUGGGAAACCGGAAAGUGCCUUCGGGAGCGCAGUGACAGGUGGUGCAUGGCUGUCGUCAGCUCGUGUCGUGAGAUGUUGGGUUAAGUCCCGCAACGAGCGCAACCCACGUCUUUAGUUGCCAGCAUUUAGUUGGGCACUCUAGAGAGACCGCCGGUGAUAAACCGGAGAAGGUGUGGAUGACGUCAAGUCAUCAUGCCCCUUACAUCUGGGCUACACACGUGCUACAAUGGUAGAUACAGAGGGCAGCUACCCCCGCGAGGGGAUGCGAAUCUCGAAAGUCUAUCUC
rnacentral:rRNA from 1 species